CCUACGGGUGGCAGCAGUCGAGAAUCAUUCACAAUGGGGGAAACCCUGAUGGUGCGACGCCGCGUGAGGGAAUGAAGGUCUUCGGAUUGUAAACCCCUGUCAUGUGGGAGCAAAUUAAAAAGAUAGUACCACAAGAGGAAGAGACGGCUAACUCUGUGCCAGCAGCCGCGGUAAUACAGAGGUCUCAAGCGUUGUUCGGAAUCACUGGGCGUAAAGCGUGCGUAGGCUGUUUCGUAAGUCGGGUGUGAAAGGCGCGGGCUCAACCCGCGGACGGCACAUGAUACUGCGAGACUAGAGUGAUGGAGAGGGAACCGGAAUUCUCGGUGUAGCAGUGAAAUGCGUAGAUAUCGAGAGGAACACUCGUGGCGAAGGCGGGUUCCUGGACAUUAACUGACGCUGAGGCACGAAGGCCAGGGGAGCGAAAGGGAUUAGAUACCCCUGUAGUC
rnacentral:rRNA from 1 species